CCUGAGCUCUGGGAUCAUCUGGAAAUCCUCUGCCUAAAUCUCAUAAUUGAGCCCAUGGAACCUAAUAAGAUUAUGAAGAGCCCUGGACAGAGUGUGGGGAUAGCCAAGAUUAGCGGGCGGGACCCAGUGAAGCAUUAUCAGAGGGAACAAGCCAGGCACUGCACUAAGCACCUUAUAAAUAUUAUCCCAUAAACAACCCUGGGAAGAAGAGGCUGUUAUUGUCCCCUUUUUUGCAGGAAACUGAGGUAGACAGAGGUUGAAUCGUGCACAGCUGGUGAGGAUCUCAGGCUGGAUUUGAACUCUGCCUUCCCAGUGCACCAUGGACCACAAAGUCACCUUAAAACAAAGACCAGAGGAGACUGAAAAGGAAUGGGGGGAGUUAGAGUCAGGAGCCGACCUUUGAGAGCAGCCCCAAGCCAGACUACAAGAUGUUAAGAAGAGAAUGGAUAAUGGGGAACUGGCUGGGAACAAGGAAAGCACUGUGGAGGUCUGGAACCAAACAAGAGAAGGCCAGAGCUGACUAGAGUCCAGGGCUGUUACAGGAACAGAAGACAACUUUCUAAUGAGGAAGAUAUGGAGAAAUGGUUCCAAGGGAGACAGCCUUCCAAGAUAGUCAUGGAUAGACAACUCUACUUUGUAGGAAAUUUUUUUCCUUGGAUCAAAAUGUUUGUUGUUGUUUGUUUUAUUAUUAUAACUUUUUAUUGACAGAACCCAUGCCAGGGUAAUUUUUUACAUUAUCCCUUGUACUCACUUCUGUUCCGACUUUUCCCUUCCCUCCCUUCACCCCCUCCCCUAGAUGGCAAGCAGCCUUAUACGUGUUAAAUAUGUUACAGUAUAUCCUAGAUACAAUAUAUGUGUGCAGAUCCUU